GAAUUAUGUCAGCCAUUUUUACAAUUAGUGAUGUCAUACAUUGAUGGUAUUUUGUAUAUCAUCAUUGUUGUCAUAUUGGCAAUAUAUUUCAAUGAAAUUUUUGGGGUAUCAACAAUUGUUAUAUCAUGGCAAUGUGAUAUUGACACAAUUAUGGCAUCAUUCUGAAUUAGAACAAAACUCUGAAGAAUUUAAUUAUAUAUUUUCUUUGCAACCCAAAAUGCUCCACUUUCCAUGGAUAAUCUUGACCAGCUCUUAGAAGAGGGGGGUCCAGCUGGGAUAUUGGCCAAGGACCCAUGAGGCAGGCCUAAGGAUGCCAACAGGAUUGCAGGUUUACAGGAUGGUGCAAUAUAAAAAGGUUCUACUUUUUUGACUGCCUAAUAUCAAUGACAUUCACAAAAUUUUUUAGUUACAAAAUCAAAAAUUAAUUUGUAAAAAAAAAAAGAAAUGAA
rnacentral:lncRNA from 1 species